GGCUUCGUUAGCGGCGGUAUCAAUUUUAAUAAGAUUCUUUUCGGACUAAUAUUUCAAAGCGUAUUCACGCAUCUCCUUUUCGAUGCUAAGUAAGUGAACCGCCUACAUUUGACACUUUAAACUGCUUUUCCUAUAGGCUCAGAUAUGAUAGGGUAGAUUUAUAGGUACCUACAUUUUUCUAAUUUCCCGUGUACUCCGGGCAUAAUGAUUGUUUAUGAACGAAACUAUUAUCGGACAAGAGAUCAUUCACUGUACUGUCAAUAGAUAAUUAUCUAUAUUGUUUGUAGUAAAUGCACUGGUCCGGGGAAACGCUCUUUUGAAUGAAUGUCAAUCCCUGAAUAAAUCGAUUAGGUACGGGUAUUCAUACACUUAAUUAUUGUAUCUUAUUAUUAUCUGUACCUAUUCGCAAAUAAAACAUGUUCGCAAUUCAAUUUUCGUUCGGUUUUUUUAUCGAUGUAAUUUACAUAGUAUUAUUUAUUNACAAUACUUCAAUCUAUAGAAUAUAAUUAUUGUGUAGUAAAGAUACGUACAUUAUACAUUAUUAACUCGAGGUAAUUGCCAAUAAUUUUCGUCCCGAUGUUAAUGGUCUUUUGAAAGCGGUAUUUUAAACAAUUGUAAAAUAAUAUUGUGGACGACAGAAGAAAAACCUUGAAAUUUAAUGUCAAAAGUAGAAAGAUAUAUAUCCCACAACAAGAUUUUCAUAAAAUAUUACGUUGCAAACAAAUAAUAGAUUUUCUUUUUGAAUCGUGAAAGUAAGUAAGUAAUUUGUUGUACCUAUUUAGUCAGUUAAGUACUGUUGUCAUUUAAAGUUAUUAUAUGAUCCAUCAAAAUAUUAAAAAUUAUAGACGGCGAGUCUAAAAAGCAGACAAAUAGUACAAAACCAACAUUUAACACCUAAUAAAUUGAUGUUGAGUUUUACUUUAUUAAAAUAUAUGUGCAAUUGAGUUGUAUACUAUAAAAAAAAAAAAAAAGGCAUACCAAUAAAAUUCUCCUAAUUAUAUUCCUAGCGUACUCUUGUGGUUGGGAAUAUAGAAAUCAUUUCAUAUUUCCAUCUAUUUUACACUUAGUUUAUCUUCACGUAUGAAAACUAUGUAAUAAAAACCAAAUUGAUUACUUUAGACGAAGAUUUAUUUCUUUAUUUUUUGGGUAAAGUGACGGAAAAUACACAGAAAUUACUCUAAAUUGUAAAAAUAAAAUAAUAAAUUAACAAUAUUGAAGUAGCACCAGUGAAAUAGUGUGUCGAUAUACAGACAAUCUGUGAUUAAAUAUAUUGAUAGUAGUACAAAAUUAUUAUAUAUACGAAUUCGUUGUANUGUAAUAAAAUCGAAAUUGAUUACUUUUGAUGAAGAUUUAUUUCUAUUUUUUGGGUAAAGUGACGGAAAAUACACAGAAAUUACUCUAAAUUGUAAAAAUAAAAUAAUAAAUUAACAAUACUGAAGUAGCACCAGUGAGAUAGUGUGUCGAUAUACGGAUAAUCUGUGAUUAAAUACAUUAAAUAUAUUGAUAGUAGUAACAAUAUUAUUAUUGUCAGAAAAAUUAGACUCCGUGUACGAAUUCGUUGUAUUUACAUUUAUACUCAUUCUGCAUACUCGUGUGGUCGGAUUGAUAACAACGAAAACCAUAACAAAAUUCGAUUUUGUGUUUCUAGGUACUUACAUUUCGAACAACAUAACGAUUAGGUACGGGUAUUUAUACACUUAAUUAUUAUAUCUUAUUAUUAUCUGUACCUAUUCGCAAAUAAAACAUGUUCUUCGCAAUUCAAUUUUCGUUCGGGUUUUUUAUCGAUGUAAUUUACAUAGUAUUAUUUAUUAUGCCCAGUCGUAUCCGUAGCGCACUCGUGUGGUCCAACCCGUCCUCAAUUCUUAUACAAAAAACGAUUUCUGUAAUAAUAUAAUAUUUUGCUUUCUGCGUUUAUCGACUUAUAUUAUAGGUGUGCAGGUAUUAGUACUGGUACCUAUAGUCGUUUUAUAUUUUGUGAUGUUGACAAAAAAAAAAUUGUAAUUUAUUUAUUUAUUAAUACGGAC